rnacentral:rRNA from 1 species
CCUACGGGUGGCAGCAGUCGAGAAUCAUUCACAAUGGGGGAAACCCUGAUGGUGCGACGCCGCGUGGGGGAAUGAAGGUCUUCGGAUUGUAAACCCCUGUCAUGUGGGAGCAAAUUAAAAAGAUAGUACCACACGAGGAAGAGACGGCUAACUCUGUGCCAGCAGCCGCGGUAAUACAGAGGUCUCAAGCGUUGUUCGUAAUCACUGGGCGUAAAGCGUUCGUAGGCUGUUUCGUAAGUCGUGUGUGAAAGGCGCGGGCUCAACCCGCGGACGGCACAUGAUACUGCGAGACUAGAGUAAUGGAGGGGGAACCGGAAUUCGCGGUGUAGCAGUGAAAUGCGUAGAUAUCGAGAGGAACACUCGUGGCGAAGGCGGGUUCCUGGACAUUAACUGACGCUGAGGCACGAAGGCCAGGGGAGCGAAAGGGAUUAGAUACCCUUGUAGUC